AUAGUCAGAAAUCAUAUGAUAAAUUCUUCGUAACAAAACUCAAUCCUAACAACCUAACGUUUAACGAAAAACCUAAACUUGUCGACAAUCGACCAAGUUCAAUACGUUCUACCAUUAUCUUUAAAACCCGCUAUGUUUUACCCGUAAAAUGUGGCAUGUAAGAAAAACUCGUACCAAAGCUCCUAGAGCUAUAUGAAACAUCCUCAAAUGCACACUAAAUAGAUCUCGGAAAGCCAACACUUCACAAAGCACUACGAAGG
rnacentral:lncRNA from 1 species